GCGGAUCCCGGGAACGUCCCGUCCCCCCGCCCUCGCACGCGCUGGCUGGCUGGACAGGCAGGUGCGCGAGCCGAAGAGGGCGGGCCGGCGCGCGAGGCUGCUUAGGACAGCUCCUGGCAGCAGCUGCAGCAGCGUGCGCGGGAGCAUUCCCCUUAAACGUGGGCAGCUGCGUAGUCGUUCCGAGCCUGCGAGCAGGGGCGCUUUGGCUGGAGAUAACAGCCUGUCUCGUGUACGCUCUUUAGCCCCGGGAGUGCCCCUGUGUCGGCAGAGGCCUAAUGCCUAUAGUGACCAGAGAGCAACUACAGGUGCGGGGUUGGGCGUGGGUGUCUUUAGGUGGCAGGUGACCACAACCAGGCGGCCCAGCAAGGCGAUGCACGUCGAGCGUGAAGAAAAGAAUAUUGUGACUGCUGAGCUCUGAGAGCCGGAACACAGGCACUGCGCAGUCUUCUCUGUGCUGCAGGUUUUACUACAGCAAGGAGGCUUCCACAAACGAAAGAGGGGAAAUGUCACAAGCCAGCAGAAACAAACGUGCCAGGCGUGAAGAGGGAAUAAUAAUUAAGAAAGAAAAUAAUUUUGCCACCAUUGGUUACUCCUUGCCUGCGAUCAUCUCCCGUACUCAAAAGCAAGAACGUGUCACCGCUGGAUGGGGGAGGUAAAACACAAGAUCAAGUACUUUCUCCUGUUCAGAAAACUACUUGAGGUGGCGGAGAGGAGAGAAAAUUUGUAAGGCGUCAAGAAAUUAAAGAGUGGAAGUAAAUAGCGGAAGGGAAAAUAAUGCAGAAGUCCAGAAGGAAAAGGAGCCAAGGUUGGAUGGAUGGUGUCAAAUCAGUUCCCUGUGAACAAGUUUCUGCCUUUCAAAAAUCAUCAUAAUUAAUGACAGGUUUCAGAGUGGUAGCCCUGUUAGUCUGUAUCAGCAAAAACGAGUCCUUGUGGCACCUUAGAGUUUGGGCAUAAGCUUCCAUGGGCUAGAACCCACUUCAUCAGAUGCACGGACUGGAAAAUACAGAAGCAGGUUUAUUUUGAAUUGUCUCAUUAAACUGACCCCCCACCUGGUAAGGCAACUCCCAUCUUUUCAUGUACAAUUUAUAAAUAUUUGCUACUGUAUUUUCCACUCCAUGCAUCUGAUGAAGUGGGUUCUAGCCCACAAAAGCUUAUGCCCAAAUAAAUUUGUUAGUCUCUAAGGUAACACGAGGACUCCUCGUUGUUUUUAUCAUCAGUAAUGUCAUCCUUGUCAUCAGUAAGUCAAGGACUAACAAGAUAGGAAGAGUGAACUACCUUCCUGAAUCUAAUGGUGGUCCCUCCAAAUCAGGAUUGAGACACUAGUGGGCAGCUGGGGAACAAAGAGGGGAGGUAGUACUUCUGCUGCUUGUGCUGUAUCUGUUCCCUGAAGAGGACUUCAGUCUGCAGGACUGUCAGUCCAGCACCUUAAAGAUUUCAGUCCUGAUAUUCA